rnacentral:rRNA from 1 species
UACGUAGGGUGCAAGCGUUAUCCGGAAUUAUUGGGCGUAAAGAGCUCGUAGGCGGUUUGUCGCGUCUGCCGUGAAAGUCCGGGGCUCAACUCCGGAUCUGCGGUGGGUACGGGCAGACUAGAGUGCAGUAGGGGAGACUGGAAUUCCUGGUGUAGCGGUGAAAUGCGUAGAUAUCGGGAGGAACACCAGUGGCGAAGGCGACUUCCUGGCCUGUUCUUGACGCUGAGGCGCGAAAGCUAGGGUAGCAAACGGGG